GCUAGGUGUGGUGGCGUGCACCUGUAGUCCCAGCUACUCAGGAGGCUGAGACAGGAGAAUCGCUUGAACCCAGGAGGCAGAGGUUGCAGUGAGCCGAGGUCACGCCACUGCACUCCAGCCUGGGCGAUAGAGUGAGACUCUGUCUCAA
ensembl:misc_RNA Metazoa_SRP Metazoan signal recognition particle RNA